rnacentral:rRNA from 1 species
UACGGAGGGGGCGAGCGUUAUUCGGAAUCAUUGGGCGUAAAGCGCGUGUAGGCGGCUUUGCAAGUCGGGUGUGAAAGCCCUCAGCUCAACUGAGGAAGUGCGCCCGAAACUGCAUUGCUUGAGUACCGGAGAGGAUGGCGGAAUUCCCGAAGUAGAGGUGAAAUUCGUAGAUAUCGGGAGGAACACCGGUGGCGAAGGCGGCCAUCUGGACGGAUACUGACGCUGAGACGCGAAAGCGUGGGUAGCAAACAGG